UACGUAGGUGGCAAGCGUUGUCCGGAAUUAUUGGGCGUAAAGCGCGCGCAGGCGGUUUCUUAAGUCUGAUGUGAAAGCCCCCAGCUCAACUGGGGAGGGUCAUUGGAAACUGGGAAACUUGAGUACAGAAGAGGAGAGUAGAAUUCCACGUGUAGCGGUGAAAUGCGUAGAGAUGUGGAGGAAUACCAGUGGCGAAGGCGGCUCUCUGGUCUGUAACUGACGCUGAGGCGCGAAAGCGUGGGGAGCAAACAGG
rnacentral:rRNA from 1 species